rnacentral:rRNA from 1 species
AUUGAACGCUGGCGGCAGGCUUAACACAUGCAAGUCGAGCGGAGUGAUGGUGCUUGCACUAUCACUUAGCGGCGGACGGGUGAGUAAUGCUUAGGAAUCUGCCUAUUAGUGGGGGACAACAUCUCGAAAGGGAUGCUAAUACCGCAUACGUCCUACGGGAGAAAGCAGGGGAUCACUUGUGACCUUGCGCUAAUAGAUGAGCCUAAGUCGGAUUAGCUAGUUGGUGGGGUAAAGGCCUACCAAGGCGACGAUCAGUAGCGGGUCUGAGAGGAUGAGCCGCCACACUGGGACUGGGAAACGGCCCAGACUCCUACGGGAGGCAGCAGUGGGGAAUAUUGGACAAUGGGGGGAACCCUGAUCCAGCCAUGCCGCGUGUGUGAAGAAGGCCUUAUGGUUGUAAAGCACUUUAAGCGAGGAGGAGGCUCUUUUGGUUAAUACCCAAGAUGAGUGGACGUUACUCGCAGAAUAAGCACCGGCUAACUCUGUGCCAGCCGCCGCAGUAA